rnacentral:lncRNA from 10 species
UUCAGACUUAGCUAUUAUCCUCUGCUGAACAAAGAAAGAAGUCUCUUGGGACCAGUUAUGGGGAGGUAACUGAGAAAAGCAUGAAAAACAAGGAGUUUCACUUGUGCCUGCUAUUUCUCAAAAUAAUCCUUAUGACAAAAAGACAUAUUUUGGAGUGGCAUAUCUUGUCUCCUACAAUGGUGUUGAGGAAUUACUAUUAAUUUUUUUUAGGUGAGGAGAAGGAAGAUUAAAAAAGAGGAAGAGAAAGAAAAGAAAACUACACUAGGUUCUCAUCUUAACCUGGGAGUCACCUCUGUCUUCCUGGCAUCCGCACAAUCAGUAGGACCCAGCAAUCUCCCGCAGGACAUUUUCUAAAGUGUAAGUUACUAUGUCAAGAGCAGCAUCAUGACACCUGCAGUCGGAGAGCUGCAGGUAGGCUUUGCCACCCUGAGUUUGAACCACCUCAAGUUUUCCUUGCCAGUGUGAGGUGAAGACACACUUUCACAUCCCUUCAGGGUAUCCUCCAGUGUGUGUCUUUCGCAUAGCACAAUAACAGAUGCACGCACACACACAUACACACACACAUUUUCCAAGGACAAAAACUAAUUUUCAGAAAUAGUAGAGUCAAAAUUUGUUUUUCCAUGUGCAAAAUCGUUUCAGAGCUGCUUCUUCUCACAAAGGAGAUAGCUCUCAAUUGUCAUUUUUAUGCAGAACGAUGUCAGUUCCCUUUGUCCUCAGACCGUCCCUGAGAUCUUCCACUGCAUAAGAAAUGGGGUCCAUUCCAGAGCCAUCCUCCUCUCCAUGGACUCCCUUAGGCUCACAAAGACCCGGAAAAUACAUUAGUAUUUAAAGUUUGUUUUCUGUUUCCUUUGCUACUUUGUC